rnacentral:lncRNA from 1 species
CGGCACUUUCAAAAGACUGAUUUGGUUAUUAACUAUUAUUGUCAAUCAAAAUAAAUUAGUAGCAAGUUCGGGAAAAUUGAGAAUAGCGACGUCAAUAUUGUUGGAAGGGUAAAAUUUAGGGCCCGGCUGAUAACAUAGGGAGUUUUAUUAGUCCAUGCAAGCUGAGUUUCAUUUUUUUAUAGCGAAUCGAUUUACUAAGAUUGCCGCAUAACGCCAAAAUGGCGCCAAAACAUAAACAGGAUUUUUAAAGUCGUUUGAUCGAAAGGUUUAAAAAACGUUACAAAAUAUCGUGAAAAUACAAGAAUAAGCGCCG